rnacentral:sRNA from 1 species
AGGUAUGGUACAAAGGUUAAGAGUGCCACCUCGUAUGGCAACGCCUUCGUGCCCCACAUCCUGUGGG